ACAAGACAGACAUCGGAUUUUAGUAAGACAAAUCACAAUGUACACCAAGACAACAGGACAACUUGAAAGUUACAGCCAUGGCACAGGGACCAAGCAAAAGGAACAGCCCUAGAUCCCCUGAAAACAUCAAACACCCCUCUACCCCUAGGCAACCUGGACCUUCCUUGCAGACACACUCCCCAACCCCGGGGGACUUCCUCCCCACCCUGGCAAGGUGCCAUCUUCUGCAGGAGUCGUUGGAGUUCCUCACAAUGGGGUGUGGUCUCAUGCUUUCUGAGAUAGCCAUGGUGAUAUAAUCUCAAGUCACUGGAACCAACCUCAUAAAAAGGUAUUAAUCACUAGCUAGCUUGCAUCACAAUGAACUAAUGUUGUGUAAGGAAGGAAUGUGAAGAACAGUUUGAUUUCAGAUAAAGGUAAGGAGAGGGGCAGGACUUCCAUGCCAGGCAGAGCACAAGAUUACAGAGCUAUUUUAGUCACAAAUUCCAUAAAACCUGUGAUUCAGACUUACUCAAACUAUUCACUGCCCCCAAAGAAAGGAAUGUUUAGUUUCUACUGACCUAUUUAUAGCCGGAAGAAAUGGUUGUUAAUUUUUUGUUGUUUUUUAACUCCCUCUCACCCACAUUUACCACCAAGUCAGAACUCCAAUGCCAUCAAGUAUUCCCCCAGAAUGUAGCUUUCUCAUCCCAGAAGUUACUACUUUUUAAAUAGUGUGUUAUUCCACACACCCAGUAGCUGAAAGGUUGCAUUGAGGGAUAACAUUCAGAUUGAAGGGCAGGAGGAAGGUUUGGCUCAUACACUCAAUGCUUAGUUAC